CAAAGGGCGCAUGGUGAAUGCCUUGGCAUCAGGAGCCGAUGAAGGACGUGAUAAGCUGCGAUAAGCUUCGGGUAGGCGCACAUAGCCUGAGAUCCGAAGAUCUCCGAAUGAGGAAACUCACAUGGGAAACCCCAUGUAUCAUUAAGUGAAUACAUAGCUUAAUGAAGGUAACCCAGGGAACUGAAACAUCUAAGUACCUGGAGGAAGAGAAAGAAAAAUCGAUUUUCUUAGUAGCGGCGAGCGAAAGGGAAAGAGCCCAAACCGGAAACUUGUUUCCGGGGUUGUGGACAUGACAUAAAAGUGGAGGCUAUUGUAACUGAAGAGAACUGGAAAGUUCCACCGUAGAAGGUAAUAGUCCUGUAAGUGAAACGAGAAGACCACGAGUUAUGAUCCAGAGUACCACGAGACACGUGAAACCUUGUGGGAAGCUGGGAGGACCACCUCCCAAGGCUAAAUACUACCUGAUGACCGAUAGUGAAGCAGUACCGUGAGGGAAAGGUGAAAAGAACCCCGGGAGGGGAGUGAAAUAGAACCUGAAACCGUGUGCCUACAACCGCUCAGAGCCCCUUAUGAGGGUGAUGAGGUGCUUUUUGUAGAACGAGCCAACGAGUUACGGUAUGUAGCAAGGUUAAGUACUUAAGGUACGGAGCCGAAGGGAAACCGAGUCUGAAUAGGGCGACUAGUUGCAUGCCGUAGACCCGAAACCGGGUGACCUAUCCAUGGCCAGGUUGAAGCGAGGGUAAAACCUCGUGGAGGACCGAACCACGUUGCUGUUGAAAAAGCAUGGGAUGAGCUGUGGAUAGCGGAGAAAUUCCAAUCGAACCCGGAGAUAGCUGGUUCUCUCCGAAAUAGCUUUAGGGCUAGCGUCGAGUAUGAGUAGUGGAGGUAGAGCACUGAAUGGGCUAGGGGGCAUAGCGCUUACCGAACCUUAUCAAACUCCGAAUGCCACAUACUUUGAGCUCGGCAGUCAGACUACGAAUGAUAAGAUCCGUGGUCAAAAGGGAAACAGCCCAGAUCGUCAGCUAAGGUCCCAAAGUGUAAGUUAAGUGGGAAAGGAUGUGAGAUUUCUAAGACAACUAGGAUGUUGGCUUAGAAGCAGCCAUUCAUUAAAAGAGUGCGUAAUAGCUCACUAGUCGAGAGAUCUUGCGCCGAAAAUGUAACGGGGCUAAACUUACCACCGAAGCUACGGGCUUGAACUUAGUUCAAGCGGUAGGAGAGCGUCGUAACCGGGCUGAAGUCGUACCGUAAGGAGCGGUGGACUGGUUACGAGUGAGAAUGUUGGCAUCAGUAGCGAGAUGUGGGUGAGAAUCCCACAGGCCGAAAACCUAAGGUUUCCUCAGGAAGGUUCGUCCGCUGAGGGUUAGUCGGGACCUAAGCCGAGGCCGAAAGGCGUAGGUGAUGGACAACUGGUUGAUAUUCCAGUACCACUACCAUCGUUAUUAUCGAUGGCGUGACGCAGGAGGAUAGUGUGUGCUAGCUAUUGGAUGCUAGUCUAAGCGUUUAGGCAGUGAGAGUAGGCAAAUCCGCUCUCAUAAUGCUGAGGCGUGAUGGGGAAGGUUCUACGGAACCGAAGUACAUGAUUCCACGCUGCCAAGAAAAGCGUCUAGAGAGAGAAGUAGUGCCCGUACCGCAAACCGACACAGGUAGGUGAGGAGAGAAUCCUAAGGCCGGCGGAAGAAUUACAGUUAAGGAACUCGGCAAAUUGACCCCGUAAGUUCGCGAGAAGGGGUGCCUACGAGAGUAGGCCGCAGAGAAUAGGCCCAAGCAACUGUUUAGCAAAAACACAGGUCUCUGCUAAAGCGUAAGCUGAUGUAUAGGGGCUGACGCCUGCCCGGUGCUGGAAGGUUAAGGGGAACACUUAGCGCAAGCGAAGGUGUGAACUUAAGCCCCAGUAAACGGCGGCCGUAACUAUAACGGUCCUAAGGUAGCGAAAUUCCUUGUCAGGUAAGUUCUGACCCGCACGAAUGGCGUAAUGACUUGGGCACUGUCUCAACUGUAAAUCCGGCGAAGUUGUAGUGCGAGUGAAGAUGCUCGCUACCCGCGAUUGGACGGAAAGACCCCGUAGAGCUUUACUGUAGCUUAGCAUUGAGUUUUGGUAUUGUCUGUACAGGAUAGGUGGGAGACUAGGAAACCAGGGCGUCAGCCUUGGUGGAGUCAACCUUGGGAUACCACCCUGACAGUACUGAAAUUCUAACUGGCGGCCAUGAAUCUGGUCACAGGACAUUGUUAGGUGGGCAGUUUGACUGGGGCGGUCGCCUCCUAAAAAGUAACGGAGGCGCCCAAAGGUUCCCUCAGAACGGUCGGAAAUCGUUCGAAGAGUGCAAAGGCAGAAGGGAGCCUGACUGCGACACCCACAAGUGGAGCAGGGACGAAAGUCGGGCUUAGUGAUCCGGUGGUACCUCGUGGGAGGGCCAUCGCUCAACGGAUAAAAGCUACCUCGGGGAUAACAGGCUGAUCUCCCCCAAGAGUCCACAUCGACGGGGAGGUUUGGCACCUCGAUGUCGGCUCGUCGCAUCCUGGGGCUGAAGUAGGUCCCAAGGGUUGGGCUGUUCGCCCAUUAAAGCGGCACGCGAGCUGGGUUCAGAACGUCGUGAGACAGUUCGGUCCCUAUCCGUCGCGGGCGUAGGAAAUUUGAGAGGAGCUGUCCUUAGUACGAGAGGACCGGGAUGGACUGACCUCUGGUGUACCAGUUGUUCCGCCAGGAGCACAGCUGGGUAGCUAAGUCGGGAAUGGAUAAACGCUGAAAGCAUCUAAGCGUGAAGCCAACCUCAAGAUGAGAUUUCCCAUAGCGUAAGCUAGUAAGAUCCCUUGAAGAACACAAGGUUGAUAGGUCGGGGGUGUAAGCAUGGUAACAUGUUCAGCUGACCGAUACUAAUAGAUCGAGGGCUUGACCA
rnacentral:rRNA from 1 species